rnacentral:rRNA from 1 species
AACGAACGCUGGCGGCAGGCUUAACACAUGCAAGUCGAGCGCCCCGCAAGGGGAGCGGCAGACGGGUGAGUAACGCGUGGGAAUCUACCCAUCUCUACGGAAUAACGCAUGGAAACGUGUGCUAAUACCGUAUACGUCCUUCGGGGGAAAGAUUUAUCGGAGAUGGAUGAGCCCGCGUUGGAUUAGCUAGUUGGUGGGGUAAAGGCCUACCAAGGCGACGAUCUAUAGCUGGUCUGAGAGGAUGAUCAGCCACACUGGGACUGAGACACGGCCCAGACUCCUACGGGAGGCAGCAGUGGGGAAUAUUGGACAAUGGGCGCAAGCCUGAUCCAGCCAUGCCGCGUGAGUGAUGAAGGCCCUAGGGUUGUAAAGCUCUUUCACCGGUGAAGAUAAUGACGGUAACCGGAGAAGAAGCCCCGGCUAACUUCGUGCCAGCCGCCGCGGUAAGAC